CUAGACGAACCCUCCAUACACAUCACAGACACCAAAAAGGGGAACAUCAGCUGACCAUCGGUCAGUGCCGACAUGGUAAAAGGACACUUGGAAGGACUGGAUGUGUUCAGAUCACCGGGACCAGAGGGACUCCACCCACAGGAUCCUCGCCACUUGGAGACCACUCAUCAUUUGGGGCAUCCGCAAGGACCUGGCUGGGUUUGUCCAGCCAAUCGGAACUGGAAAGCACUAACGAAGUGUGCCUGUGCCAGUGUUGGGGUUUCCCUCCUUGGGGUCGGCAUCAAAUGCAGUGGCUCAUCCCUCCACCAGAGCUUCUCCUCCACUUCCGCUUCAUCUACUUUGGUGGCAGCUGGCUUCUCACUCCUACAAUGUGACUCUGCUAGGAAGGGAACUGCUGGAGCUGGUGACCACCCCCUGACUGAGAACCUUAGGCCUCUGGAGGCCCCAGUGCACAUUGCAGCCCUUGGCUGGUGGGAGACCCAAGCUGUAGCUGUAGGAAAAGCUUCUUGCAUGCUCUGGCAUGGUCAGAAUAGGUGCCUGCCACAGCACUGUGGUUCUCGAUGACUAUGCUCAGUGACCCCCCAUCUCUAGGGCUGGAAACACUUGGGUGACACUGAUCUCUCCAGCCCAGGAGCCUUAAUAUCCUUCCCACAAUGCUUUUACCUGGAUGGGAAUGAUGAAACAAGACACGGAGGAGAGAAAGGGAAUAGUAGGCAAGGCCACAUGAACAUACUCGUGUGUAUGGGCAUGCGGGGUGCUCCAUGCUGUGCCUGCUCCUUUGAGGACGUGCAUUUCUCCCUGCCCUCACUCAGCCACCCAGGCUCUGUAGGCUGGGCACUAGCAGCUCAGGCUUUGAGCUCUUGAAGUCCCCUGCUCAGCCCUCAGGACAUUAACCAAAAUGGCAGCCCCCACUUAAAUCAGGAAUUGUUUAGCCCCUUGUGUGGUGCCAGAUCCUUGGAUGGGACAAACUGCCAUAGCUCCGCUUAAACCAAUGGGACUAUUCUGAUUGGCACCACCUGAGGAUCUGGCCCACAGGCCCCAGUGAGGCUGUGCACUAACCGCGUCUACGGCCAAGUUCCUUGCCUAGAGGGUGAGAUGGGAGUUUUCCUAUACUCCAGUGGGGGCCAACCUUUUUGGUAGGCAUGAUGCAGAUUAGCCCUGCACCCGUCCCAAGUGCCACACCUAUUCUCUCCCUCUACUCGAUCUUCUGCUCUGCUUUCUGCUCCCUGCCCUAGCUGCUACUGUGUUGCCUGUCCCCUCUCUGAUUCAUCCCCUGCCACACACAGAGGUUGGCCAUGGCCACAUGUGGUACCCAUGCCAGUUUUGGCCUCCCUUGCUAUAUUCCAUCCCUCUCAGAGUAGAAUAGAUAUUGGUACAGCUCUUGUUUUCUUCCCUUCCUUGGCGGUCUCCCCAGCCCGAUGCAGCAGCAAUGCCUGUGGAAACUUGCCCUGCUCCCAGGGAAAUGCAUCACACUGGCUGCUGCAAAACCAGAGUGCUCACAGCUUUUCAGUGUGCCCCGCAGAAAUGGCCAUCCCUCCAGCAGUUGAGGAAAUGCUAUUUACUGCCUAAAGACUGUUCCUUGCCAUGAUGCAGCAAUUAGAUUAUGUAAGAGUCAGUAGGUCAGAUGAUUCAAGUUUCAUGGGUGUGAACCCAGAGCAACCACACAACAGUCAUGGCAUCUAUUCCAGAUUUAUGUCAGUAUAAGGCAAAUUGAAGUCUGGCCAGGGGCACUUCUAAUAGAAGCAAUUUGUUAAGGGGCCAGGCAGAUGCUUGUCACUUUGGCCCUCUCUGAGAUAAGGUUUGCUCCCAGCUACACACUCUUCCCUAGCUCCCUUUUCCUCUUGACUACAGCACGGUCCUGCUGGCGGCAUAAGGGAAAGCUUCUUAUCAGGGAAUGUGUUUGAAACCUUAGGGCCAAGUUUGCAGCUUGUCAAAAUUGUUACUGGUCUCCAAGAAGUUGCAGUGAUUCACACCACUUGGAGCCCGGCCUCUUGGACCCCAGGGGAUUAUUCAUCCUGCCUAUACAAGUGGAUCAGCCCCAUUGCUUUCUCUGGGGUUAUUCCUCCUUCACACUGGUAUAGCUGUAAGCCGUUUUGGUCCAGGUGAGCACUGUUGCUCAUAGGCCUUUGUCUGUUGUCACUGCAGCAAAGCUGAGCUGCUCACUGUCUGCCAGGAGACACUGACCCUGUGACAAUCCCCGGUUUUAGCAACGUUAAUGCAACUGUCUCAGCAGAGCAGUGCAUGCAUGUGGGGACAGCUCAUCCCACCUCAGGUCUAUGGGUCACAAAAGAUUCGGCCAAGGUGAAGCCUUGCCAGGCCCCAUGCAUCCCUCCCUCCCUCUCUCAGGGGAUGGAUGCUCCAGUGCUCAGUGCAUCGUAGCAGAGUUGGAGACCUGAGCUCUCCAUCUGCAGCAUGAUUUGGGUGAGUCCUUUGACUUCUCUGCAUCUUACUUCCUUGGUUAUGAAACCCCUGUGGGCAAGAGUAGCCCCAGAGCACAGGGAGCCUUUGUUCACCCAAUGUGCUUGGAGAGCCUCAGCUAGAAGGCAGCUGAGACAAGUGGAAAAACUUGCUAAUGGAAAUGGACUUGGCUCAUGGACAACACUACAACUUUUAUUUAGGGACUGAAGACUUUUUGCUUCCCUUCUGCCCACCCUAUAGGCAACAGCAAUGAUUCUGCAGCCCUCUGGUUUGGUAGUCUUGACUCAGCUGAGACCGGUGCCUGACCCCAUCAUCCCCUGGCAGUGCCUUCUUGCUCUUACUCCUGGUACGAUGAAUUGUUCAGAAAUCACUCCAAGCCAAGGAGUCUGACAGACGCCUGCUUCCCCCUGCAUCUGCGUUCUACCAGCUCAGCAGUGUGCGAUAGGAACCUCUGGACAGCAUCGCAGCCCCAGUAAGGUGGAGUUCCCCGUACAGAGCACUCACCCUUUUCACCAGAGUUAAUGGGAACAGCCCAGUGUCCAGCUCUGCUAAGAAGUUGGCACCAAAUGCCAGAAUGUUUAUGAGCAUAUUGAUGGCUGGUUACCUGAAGUGCCAUUUGCCACUAAAUGUGGGUCAGCAAAGCAGCCAUUUGACCUCUACCACUGCCUGACCACUGGGAUAGAGCUGGCCCUGUUCAUUAACCAAAUUCUGUCUGCCUCAGAUGGGCAUUUUAUGGCCUUCUGGCUGAGGCUUCUGAAAUUCUCGCCUUUUCCAAACCAAACAUAUCAAAUUCAAUCUCCGAUCCUCACGUGGAUCAGAGGAGGAGCUGGUUUUGGGAUGCAACGACUAACCCCUGAGAGAGGAAACCACAAUGGGUAUUUCCUGGCCUGUGAGUCUAAGGCAGUACAUCAGGAGCCCAGGCUGGCUCUCUCCCUAAGCUUAGGAUCAUAGCAGGCAGGAACAUGCCCUGUAGCAGAAACCAUGGUAAUGCCUGGAAAGGAGCCUCCAGGCCAAAGGAGGCUUGGUAGGAGAACAAAGGGGAAGCCAGGAUGAGGUGGGAAGACCUUGAAAAAGGAAUCAGUAGCACGGAAGAGGAGGGCUAGCAAGAGAGGGCAUGUCUAUGCCAUGAGCUUCUGCUUCAAUGGAAGAGGAUUUAGCUUCUCAGCAGGGGUGAAGGGCACGACUGCUUCUUCACCGUGCCAAGACUUUGAGUGGAGAACUCAUUCCUCCAGUGGAUAGGGGAGCAGGGUUCACCGCAAUACCACUGGGGUGGGAGGUGGACUUCCCCCAAAGAUCAGAUUGGCAAGGACUGCACAGCUUUUUGCCUUCCUGAGCAGCACAGAGAACAGCCUCCUGCCUCAGAUCACCUGCAUCUAUAUUCACCCUCCAUAUUCCUUGCUUUUGCAGUCCCAGGGCACUGGGGGAACUCUUGUCUGGCCAGCUCAGGUGUGUGGUGGGCUUUUUCAUAAGUUGCUUUGUGGCUGUGGCUGGCUGUGGCUGUGGCAGGUGAGGGGAGUCUAAGUGAGACAAUAUAGUGGAUCCUUCUGGACACAUAGUUGCCUGCAAAUGCAAGGGAUGGGACUUGAUGGGCCACAAGGCCCCUCCCAGUCAUAGUUCAGGCAGUUCACAUUACUAUAGUGAUCCUAUCAAACUCUCUUGGAUCCCUCCUCAUCCAGAGGUUUCAAAGUGCUUUGCACAGGCAGGGGGCAGCGUCAGUGGGGUUGUGUUGGGGGUCCUGGACUGGAGGGAGAGCUGUGGGAAAACCGAGGCAUGGAAAGCCAAACGGCCUGAUAUUCAGAGGCUCUGAGCACCCUGGUCUCUAGGUAGGGUCAGUGGAAGCUGCAGGUGCUCAACACUGCUGGAAAUCAACUGCAGAGCUGGAGUUAGAGUCCAGGAGCCCGACUCCCAGCCCAUGGCUUUGCUGGGGAGCGGGACUAGGGGACGGAGAUCGGGGAAUGUGAGAAAUCCCAUACCACCCUGUAGUCUCAUAUCACAUGCCCUUGCCCAGCAUUGACAGGAACAGGAAGGGGGAGAGCCCACAGAGAUGCCAAACAUGGAGAAAUGCUGCAUGUGUUUAAGUGCUGCUCUGAGCAGUUGGAGCCAGGGUGCGGAGGGCCUAGGGGCCUGGGCUGUAACUGGACCUCAGAGAGGCAGGUGGGUAGGCAGGUUCUUGUGGGCACAGUAGGCAGAGAGGGAGGCAACCAGGACAAAGGGCUUCCAGCCCCACUGUUAGGACUGCCCAGGAGGGGGCAGCCUCACAAGGGUCCUUCCUCUUUCAAACCCUGGUUCAGCCCCCAGGGAGAUGGAUAGAAAAGACCCCAGUGGCUUCAACGGGAGAGUGUCCCAGCCCUAGAUGCUGCCCGGCAGGGGAACGCAUUGUCCUUUCCGUGCAUCCUGCGGUUGGUGUUGAGCUCGCUCAGACUGAAUUUCCCCUUCACACCAUCUCUUUGUCCCACCUUUGUUCUCCCAAGGAAGUAGCCUGCUGGGCUGAGCGCUAGGGGAUGGAUCAGGCCCAGUGCAGAGUGGCCAACCCUGGGCAGGGGUACAGGGGCAACAAUGCCACCGCAGAGGCAUGGCUCACAGGGGAAGUCCCCAUGGCAGCCAGGUUUGUGACAGGUACAACGGUUUGUGCCCUAUGUUUUGCUAAGUGAGCUGCCGGAAGACAAUGUUGGAUGAGACCAGGCUGAUCCCCAGAACUGAGAUAGCUAUGCACUACUUGAGCACAACAUUAUAGGCUCCAUGUGGGGGUAACAGGUUGGCAUCUGAUGGCUUGUUGCAUGAGAUGAUUUGUGACCCUCGUGUCUGCUCAGGGACUUUACCAGCAUUAAUGCACAAAGCUCCCAGUGCUCCUGGCAGAGGCCAGCCCACAUUUCUCAUCCUCCAGAUGAGGAAACUAAGGCAUAAGGAAGAUUGAAGACAACAUCUUUGGGUGUUGGAGUUUUUGGUGCCCAGCUUGAAUCACCUGGGGCCUUGCUUUUAGAAGAGCUGAGCCAUUGACUUCCACUGAAGCUCAAAACAAGGCCUGGGUGCCAAAGAAGGAGAUGCCCAAAGACAGUGGCUGCUGUCGGCCCUUUUCACCAGGGUUGUCCAGUAGGCUAGCAGCAGGAGGAAUGAAACCCAGGUCUCCUUGUUCCCCAACCCGUCCUCCAUUUUAGCUGCCUCCCCCCCACACACACACCUUUGCUUGUGACUGGAUUUCUUCCAGUUGAGGAGGCUGAGAUAAGGGAGCUGUUCCUCAGUCACUGGUCUGUGGACUCAGCCAGACAAGUAAGGAUCCAAACCCAACAGCUGUGAGCUUUCCAGGUUGCACCCUGUCCUGGGAGGGGUGCCACUGGCACAGAGCAGCCACUAAUUAAAUCAGCCACACUCUGAAAAUGUGGGAGAGUAAAACCAGCUCUUAAAGGGAAGGAGGAGCCGUGGAGAGAGCUGUUGUGUAACUGGAGAGCCUUGCAGAGUGAAGGGUGUGGGGGGGUGUAGGGGAGGGAGGAAGGAAGUCUGAUUGUCUGAGCUAUUCAAACCCAAGAAUUUAUUGUCAAAGAAAAUGG